rnacentral:rRNA from 1 species
ACGGAAGUUACGAGGAAGCUUGCGAAUUGUAACUUUAGUGGCGGACGGGUGAGUAACGCGUGGAUAACCUGCCUACAUGACCGGGACAACACCGGGAAACUGGUGCUAAUACCGGAUACGCUCAUAGAUACACAUGUAUAUAUGAGGAAAGGAGCAAUCCGCAGGUAGAUGGGUCCGCGUCCCAUUAGCUAGUUGGCGGUGCAAAAGACCACCAAGGCGACGAUGGGUAGCCGGCCUGAGAGGGUGAACGGCCACACUGGAACUGAGACACGGUCCAGACUCCUACGGGAGGCAGCAGUGGGGAAUCUUCCGCAAUGGGCGCAAGCCUGACGGAGCAACGCCGCGUGAGUGAAGAAGGCUUUCGGGUUGUAAAACUCUGUCUUCAGGGAAGAAAAAAAUGACGGUACCUGAGGAGGAACCCCGGCUAACUACGUGCCACG